rnacentral:rRNA from 1 species
CGCAAGGGGAGCGGCAGACGGGUGAGUAACGCGUGGGAACGUACCUUUUGCUACGGAAUAACUCAGGGAAACUUGUGCUAAUACCGUAUGUGCCCUUCGGGGGAAAGAUUUAUCGGCAAAGGAUCGGCCCGCGUUGGAUUAGCUAGUUGGUGAGGUAAAGGCUCACCAAGGCGACGAUCCAUAGCUGGUCUGAGAGGAUGAUCAGCCACACUGGGACUGAGACACGGCCCAGACUCCUACGGGAGGCAGCAGUGGGGAAUAUUGGACAAUGGGCGCAAGCCUGAUCCAGCCAUGCCGCGUGAGUGAUGAAGGCCCUAGGGUUGUAAAGCUCUUUCACCGGUGAAGAUAAUGACGGUAACCGGAGAAGAAGCCCCGGCUAACUUCGUGCCAGCAGCCGCGGUAAUACGAAGGGGGCUAGCGUUGUUCGGAUUUACUGGGCGUAAAGCGCACGUAGGCGGACUUUUAAGUCAGGGGUGAAAUCCCGGGGCUCAACCCCGGAACUGCCUUUGAUACUGGAAGUC